rnacentral:rRNA from 1 species
AGAGUUUGAUCCUGGCUCAGGACGAACGCUGGCGGCGUGCUUAACACAUGCAAGUCGAGCGGUAAGGCCCUUUCGGGGGUACACGAGCGGCGAACGGGUGAGUAACACGUGGGUGACCUGCCCUCCACUCUGGGAUAAGCCCGGGAAACUGGGUCAAAUACCGGAUAGGACCACUGAUCGCAUGGUUGGUGGUGGAAAGUUUUUUCGGUGGGGGAUGGGCCCGCGGCCUAUCAGCUUGUUGGUGGGGUGAUGGCCUACCAAGGCGGUGACGGGUAGCCGGCCUGAGAGGGCGACCGGCCACACUGGGACUGAGACACGGCCCAGACUCCUACGGGAGGCAGCAGUGGGGAAUAUUGCGCAAUGGGCGGAAGCCUGACGCAGCGACGCCGCGUGGGGGAUGACGGCCUUCGGGUUGUAAACCUCUUUCGCCAGGGACGAAGAGCAAUUGACGGUACCUGGAGAAGAAGCACCGGCCAACUACGUGCCAGCAGCCGCGGUAACACGUAGGGUGCGAGCGUUGUCCGGAAUUAUUGGGCGUAAAGAGCUCGUAGGCGGUGUGUCGCGUCGGCCGUGAAAACUUGGGGCUUAACUCUGAGCGUGCGGUCGAUACGGGCAUCACUUGAGUUCGGCAGGGGAGACUGGAAUUCCUGGUGUAGCGGUGAAAUGCGCAGAUAUCAGGAGGAACACCGGUGGCGAAGGCGGGUCUCUGGGCCGAUACUGACGCUGAGGAGCGAAAGCGUGGGGAGCGAACAGGAUUAGAUACCCUGGUAGUCC